rnacentral:rRNA from 1 species
UACGAAGGGGCUAGCGUUGUUCGGAAUUACUGGGCGUAAAGCGUGCGCAGGCGGCUUCUCAAGUCAGGGGUGAAAGCCCAGAGCUUAACUCUGGAAUUGCCUUUGAGACUGAGAGGCUUGAGUACGGGAGAGGUGAGUGGAAUUCCCGAGUGAUAGAGGUGAAAUUCGGUAAGAUAUUGGGAAGAACACCGGUGGCGAAGGCGG